rnacentral:misc_RNA from 1 species
GUUUUACAUGCAUAAGUUUAUUGAAAUUACUUAAUGAUCAGGAUUGGAUUUUUAAUUUUGAACUAGAUAGGAUGGCUCGAUGGAAUCCUUGCUGUGAAUAUUCCAUGUUUUGAUUUUACAUGUGUAUUGAGUUUUGAAUUGGAGCUUGCCAAUUAUUCACCUAAUAAUUGGACAAUGCUUACGUGGCUGGCUGUGAUAUUCUUAAAUGUGCAUAGAUAUUUUACAUGUACAGGAUUUAAAUUGUAGGGGUGCUUUCUGUUUCUAAAUGAAAUUUGUGAAUUUGCUAUCCUCUGGGCUUUCUGU